rnacentral:lncRNA from 1 species
GGCUGGGCGAUCCUGGCCCCGUGGGAUACCCUGGCCUACCUGGGGUACACCCACCCCUGCGCCCUGUGCCCCUCGCCCUCUCACUGGGCAGGUGUUCUCCCCAGCCUUCCCACACUCAGGAGGCAGCUCCCAGAGCUGGGCCCCAAGGGCGUAGAUACCUCCCACGAGGCGCCUGCCUUUCUGUCCCUCUCCACCCACACGACCCAGAGCUGUGGCAAGAAGAAUCUUGUUCAAUCGUUUGCUUUCCCUGUUGUUCCUGAAUUCAAGAACCCUAGGUGUUUCUGAGUGGACGCCCCCACCGCCCAGUGGACACACCCUUCACUUACUAGUGAGAACUCAGCCUCCAGGUUCCACACGUGGGACUGUUGUGUAUAUAUAUAUAUAUUUUUUUUUCUUUUCUUUUCUUUUUUCUUCCUUUUUAACUGAGGGCCUAACAUGACCCAUGGACAUCGGACAUUACGGAGCAGAGAGCUUCGGCCCACAGCUGCAACAAGGAAAGAGCAAUACGAUUAUGGUUAAGUCUGUGGUAACAAUAAAGGGGCUACCCCAGGGGCCUGUGAUAUGGGGAGACACCACCGAAGCCAGUGCUCCACAAGGCUGCUUCACUGAGGUUGUUUUUAAGGGCCAUAGGGCUUUUUGGUGAUGCGCCUGCUUUUAAGUCACUCAGCUUCUGUCGUGAGACUGGAUAAAUUCGUUGGUUACAAAGCUGGGUUCGGGAGGAGUCUUCCUUGUCUGCUGUCGGAGCUAAAUUUAGGGUGAAUGGGUGUUUGUUCAUACCUCCUCAGGCAAGGCAACCCAACACCAGCCUGUUUGCUCCUCCAGGAAGCCCUGUGACCUCUACCCUACACUCUUGGCUCUCCCCUCAAAUGCAGCAUUACCUUCAAAGACAAUUUAAACCAACAGCGAACAUUGGUGCAGACACUAGACAGGAUUUCUCUGUGUAUCCCUGAUGAUCCUGGAACUUGCUCUGGCCUCCAACCCAAAGAUCUGCUUGCCUCUUCGUCCUGAGUGCUGGUAUUAAAGGUGUGUACCACCACACCACCACACCUGGCUACUAGAUUCUUUCUAUAUCUCCUUUGGGUGUCAGAGGAGAAAAUAGGAAGGGGGCACACAGGAGAUCAAAAAAAAAAAUUUCUUUUGGCCAACUCAGGGCAUCCAGGCUUCCUGAUAAUAGCUUGAGAUGAUGGUGCCUCCUCCCUUAUAUAGAAAGUUGCCCCUGCAGAUCUGGUAUCAGCCUCUACUGUUCAUCAAACUCUCCACCCUUAGUGCAAUCAGAAUAAGCUCUUCAGUUUGUAUGACUGCAUAGGAAAUGAAAAUACAGGGUCCUAGCAGGGCAUAGUGGCAUA